rnacentral:rRNA from 1 species
AUUGAACGCUGGCGGCAGGCCUAACACAUGCAAGUCGAGCGAGCGGCGGACGGGUGAGUAAUGUAUGGGGACUGCCCGAUAGAGGGGGAUAACUACUGGAAACGGUGGCUAAUACCGCAUACUAUCGGAUAACCCAUAUGGGAUUAGCUAGUAGGUGGGGUAAAGGCUCACCUAGGCGACGAUCUCUAGCUGGUCUGAGAGGAUGAUCAAGCAAACUGGGACUGAGACACGGCCCAGACUCCUACGGGGGGAGCAGGGGGGAAAAUUUCACAAUGGGCGCAAGCCUUAUGCAGCCAUGCCGCGUGGAUUGAAAAGGCCUUAGGGUUUGAAAGUACUUUCAGCUGGGAGGCGUUACCCGCAGAAGAAGCACCGGCUAACUCCGUUCCAGCAGCCGCGGUAAUAC